rnacentral:lncRNA from 1 species
AAUCCUAUGAGGAAGAAAUCCCCAAUAAAGAUAGGAAGUGCCGUAUGACACAUUAAACAGCAGCGGAUCCGGCUAACACUCUUCCCAUCCACCAUUUAACCGGCUCUUCAAAAUCAUUAACACGAUUAACAAAGCUUCGGUUUUUGGUCGGGAUCGUGCUUCGUCCUGUUCCGCUGUGUGUGUGAUUUGUAACGGGUCUCCUGAGGUUUCUUCUGUUUCACUUUAGAACAAAAUGUUUUUUAGUUAGAUUAAGAGAUGUUUUCUGUUAGGUUCGAUGCCACGUCAACGGUAGCCAAAAGUGCAUUGACCGACCGAUGAUGCUAUGAUUGAACCGAUAAUAAACUUUUGUGUGUUUCGCAUGUUAUAGGAACCUGUGAACGAUUGUUCGUUCGUUCACAGAGCCGUUUAUUGCGAUUACAUAA